rnacentral:ncRNA from 1 species
ACGUAAAAAGCAAAACUGUCGUAAGGCAGUGACGCAAAGCUAUAGGGUUUUAUGCAAUAAAACAGCCAGUUGCCAA